rnacentral:rRNA from 1 species
GACGAACGCUGGCGGCGUGCCUAAUACAUGCAAGUAGAACGCUGAAGGAGGAGCUUGCUCUUCUGGAUGAGUUGCGAACGGGUGAGUAACGCGUAGGUAACCUGCCUGGUAGCGGGGGAUAACUAUUGGAAACGAUAGCUAAUACCGCAUAAGAGUAGAUGUUGCAUGACAUUUGCUUAAAAGGUGCAAUUGCAUCACUACCAGAUGGACCUGCGUUGUAUUAGCUAGUUGGUGGGGUAACGGCUCACCAAGGCGACGAUACAUAGCCGACCUGAGAGGGUGAUCGGCCACACUGGGACUGAGACACGGCCCAGACUCCUACGGGAGGCAGCAGUAGGGAAUCGUCGGCAAUGGACGGAAGUCUGAACGAGCAACGCCGCGUGAGUGAAGAAGGUUUUCGGAUCGUAAAGCUCUGUUGUAAGAGAAGAACGAGUGUGAGAGUGGAAAGUUCACACUGUGACGGUAUCUUACCAGAAAGGGACGGCUAACUACGUG